rnacentral:rRNA from 1 species
UACGUAGGGGGCUAGCGUUGCUCGGAAUCACUGGGCGUAAAGGGUGCGUAGGCGGGCCUUUAAGUCAGGGGGGAAAUCCUGGAGCUCAACUCCAGAACUGCCUUUGAUACUGAGGAUCUUGAGUACGGGAGAGGUGAGUGGAACUGCGAGUGUAGAGGUGAAAUUCGUAGAUAUUCGCAAGAACACCAGUGGCGAAGGCGGCUCACUGGCCCGUAACUGACGCUGAGGCACGAAAGCGUGGGGAGCAAACAGG